GCUCAGAUUGAACGCUGGCGGCAGGCCUAACACAUGCAAGUCGAGCGGCAGCGGGAAAGUAGCUUGCUACUUUUGCCGGCGAGCGGCGGACGGGUGAGUAAUGCCUGGGGAUCUGCCCAGUCGAGGGGGAUAACUACUGGAAACGGUAGCUAAUACCGCAUACGCCCUACGGGGGAAAGCAGGGGACCUUCGGGCCUUGCGCGAUUGGAUGAACCCAGGUGGGAUUAGCUAGUUGGUGAGGUAACGGCUCACCAAGGCGACGAUCCCUAGCUGGUCUGAGAGGAUGAUCAGCCACCCUGGAACUGAGACACGGUCCAGACUCCUACGGGAGGCAGCAGUGGGGAAUAUUGCACAAUGGGGGAAACCCUGAUGCAGCCAUGCCGCGUGUGUGAAGAAGGCCUUCGGGUUGUAAAGCACUUUCAGCGAGGAGGAAAGGUCAGUAGCUAAUAUCUGCUGGCUGUGACGUUACUCGCAGAAGAAGCACCGGCUAACUCCGUGCCAGCAGCCGCGGUAAUACGGAGGGUGCAAGCGUUAAUCGGAAUUACUGGGCGUAAAGCGCACGCAGGCGGUUGGAUAAGUUAGAUGUGAAAGCCCCGGGCUCAACCUGGGAAUUGCAUUUAAAACUGUCCAGCUAGAGUCUUGUAGAGGGGGGUAGAAUUCCAGGUGUAGCGGUGAAAUGCGUAGAGAUCUGGAGGAAUACCGGUGGCGAAGGCGGCCCCCUGGACAAAGACUGGCGCUCAGGUGCGAAAGCGUGGGGAGCAAAAAGGAUUAGAUACCCUGGUAGUCCACGCCGUAAAC
rnacentral:rRNA from 1 species